UGCGAUCACUCUAUAAUGCAGUCGAGCGACUGAUUAGAAGCUUGCUUCUAUGACGUUAGCGGCGGACGGGUGAGUAACACGUGGGCAACCUGCCUGUAAGACUGGGAUAACUCCGGGAAACCGAAGCUAAUACCGGAUAGGAUCUUCUCCUUCAUGGGAGAUGAUUGAAAGAUGGUUUCGGCUAUCACUUACAGAUGGGCCCGCGGUGCAUUAGCUAGUUGGUGAGGUAACGGCUCACCAAGGCAACGAUGCAUAGCCGACCUGAGAGGGUGAUCGGCCACACUGGGACUGAGACACGGCCCAGACUCCUACGGGAGGCAGCAGUAGGGAAUCUUCCGCAAUGGACGAAAGUCUGACGGAGCAACGCCGCGUGAGUGAUGAAGGCUUUCGGGUCGUAAAACUCUGUUGUUAGGGAAGAACAAGUACGAGAGUAACUGCUCGUACCUUGACGGUACCUAACCAGAAAGCCACGGCUAACUACGUGCCAGCAGCCGCGGUAAUACGUAGGUGGCAAGCGUUAUCCGGAAUUAUUGGGCGUAAAGCGCGCGCAGGCGGUUUCUUAAGUCUGAUGUGAAAGCCCACGGCUCAACCGUGGAGGGUCAUUGGAAACUGGGGAACUUGAGUGCAGAAGAGAAAAGCGGAAUUCCACGUGUAGCGGUGAAAUGCGUAGAGAUGUGGAGGAACACCAGUGGCGAAGGCGGGUUUUUGGUCUGUAACUGACGCUGAGGCGCGAAAGCGUGGAGAGCAAACCGGACUAGAUACCCUGGUAGUCCACGCCUCUCACGAUGAGUGCUCGCUGUUAGAGGAAUUCCGCCCUUUCUCUGCUGCAGCUAACGCAUUAAGCUCUCCACGUGGCUAGUAGGGUGAGCCGAGUGAAUUUCACAUGGAAUUGACGAGAGCCCCCCGCGCGCGCUGUACGCCGUAGUAAUUACUUCGAUAAAAACUUGCCAACCAACUUAUU
rnacentral:rRNA from 1 species